rnacentral:rRNA from 1 species
CUCAACGACCGUACCGCAAACCGACACUGGUGCGCGAGAUGAGUAUUCUAAGGCGCUUGAGAGAACUCAGGAGAAGGAACUCGGCAAAUUGACACCGUAACUUCGGAAGAAGGUGUGCCCUAUUAGUGUGAAGUGAACAACGGAGCAUGAAUGGGUUGCAAAAAAUCGGUGGCUGCGACUGUUUAUUAAAAACACAGCACUCUGCAAACACGAAAGUGGACGUAUAGGGUGUGACGCCUGCCCGGUGCUGGAAGAUUAAAUGAUGGGGUGCAAGCUCUUGAUUGAAGUCCCAGUAAACGGCGGCCGUAACAAUAACGGUCCUAAGGUAGCGAAAUUCCUUGUCGGGUAAGUUCCGACCUGCACGAAUGGCGUAACGAUGGCCACACUGUCUCCUCCUGAGACUCAGCGAAGUUGAAAUGUUUGUGAUGAUGCAAUCUCCCCGCGGAAAGACGGAAAGACCCCAUGAACCUUUACUGUAGCUUUGUAUUGGACUUUGAACAGAUCUGUGUAGGAUAGGUGGGAGGCUUUGAAGCAGGGUCGCUAGAUCUUGUGGAGCCAACGUUGAAAUACCACCCUGGUGUGUUUGAGGUUCUAACCUAGGUCCAUUAUCUGGAUCGGGGACAGUGCAUGGUAGGCAGUUUGACUGGGGCGGUCUCCUCCCAAAGCGUAACGGAGGAGUUCGAAGGUACGCUAGUUACGGUCGGACAUCGUGACGAUAGUGCAAUGGCAUAAGCGUGCUUAACUGCGAGACUGACAAGUCGAGCAGAUGCGAAAGCAGGACAUAGUGAUCCGGUGGUUCUGUAUGGAAGGGCCAUCGCUCAACGGAUAAAAGGUACUCUGGGGAUAACAGGCUGAUACCGCCCAAGAGUUCAUAUCGACGGCGGUGUUUGGCACCUCGAUGUCGGCUCAUCUCAUCCUGGGGCUGUAGCCGGUCCCAAGGGUAUGGCUGUUCGCCAUUUAAAGAGGUACGUGAGCUGGGUUUAAAACGUCGUGAGACAGUUUGGUCCCUAUCUUCCGUGGGCGCUGCAGAUUUGAGGAAGCCUGCUCCUAGUACGAGAGGACCGGAGUGGACACACCUCUGGUGUAUCGGUUGUCACGCCAGUGGCAUUGCUGAGUAGCUAAGUGUGGAAGAGAUAACCGCUGAAAGCAUCUAAGCGGGAAACUCGUUUCAAGAUGAGAUCUGCCGGGGCCUUGAGCCCCCUGAAGAGUCGUUCAAGACCAGGACGUUGAUAGGUCAGGUGUGGAAGCGCAGUAAUGCGUUAAGCUAACUGAUACUAAUUGCUCGUGCGGCUUGAUC